GAUGAAGAACGUAGUGAAAUGCGAUAAGUAAUGCGAAUUGCAGAAUUUCCGUGAGUCAUCGAAUCUUUGAACGCACAUUGCGCCCACUGGUAUUCCGGUGGGCAUGCCUGUUCGAGCGUCAUUAUCCUCCCUCAAACCUCGGGUUUGGUGUUGGACCCAAGUUGUGUGAACAACUGGUCUCAAAGACAAUGACGGCGUCCGUGGGACCCUCGGUGCAACGAGCUUUUAGGAGCACGCGUCGAGUUUCAAGGACCUUCCGGGCCGGUCUCCUUUACUAUUUUUACAAGGUUGACCUCGGAUCAGGUAGUAAUACCCGCUGAACUUAAGCAUAUCAAUAAGCGGAGGA
rnacentral:misc_RNA from 1 species